rnacentral:rRNA from 1 species
ACUCCUACGGGAGGCAGCAGUGGGGAAUAUUGCGCAAUGGGCGAAAGCCUGACGCAGCGACGCCGCGUGGAGGAUGAAGGUCUUCGGAUUGUAAACUUCUGUUGGAUGGGAAGAAAAGCACAGUUCUAAUACAGCUGUGAGAUGACUGUACCAUCAAAGAAAGCACCGGCUAACUUCGUGCCAGCAGCCGCGGUAAU